CUUUGGCUCCGCUGGAAUGGGUGAAAAGGGAAUCCGGUGGGAAUCCGGAGCGAUGCCGUCACUGUGUACCGGAGCGCCGCACAGAUACACUGGGAAACCGGGAAGGGUGCGGUGGCAAUGAAGGAAGUCAGGAGACCUGCCUGCACGU
rnacentral:ncRNA from 1 species